UACGUAGGGUGCGAGCGUUGUCCGGAAUUAUUGGGCGUAAAGGGCGCGUAGGCGGCUUUGCAAGUGACGGGUGAAAUCCCUCGGCUUAACCGAGGAACUGCCUGUCAAACUGCAUGGCUUGAGACCGGGAGAGGUGAGUGGAAUUCCCAGUGUAGCGGUGAAAUGCGUAGAUAUUGGGAGGAACACCAGUGGCGAAGGCGGCUCACUGGUCCGGUACUGACGCUGAGGUGCGAAAGCGUGGGGAGCAAACAGG
rnacentral:rRNA from 1 species